rnacentral:rRNA from 1 species
UGGGGAAUUUUGGACAAUGGGCGAAAGCCUGAUCCAGCAAUGCCGCGUGUGUGAAGAAGGCCUUCGGGUUGUAAAGCACUUUUGUCCGGAAAGAAAUCCUUGGCUCUAAUACAGUCGGGGGAUGACGGUACCGGAAGAAUAAGCACCGGCUAACUACGUGCCAGCAGCCGCGGUAAUACGUAGGGUGCAAGCGUUAAUCGGAAUUACUGGGCGUAAAGCGUGCGCAGGCGGUUUGCUAAGACCGAUGUGAAAUCCCCGGGCUCAACCUGGGAAUUGCAUUGGUGACUGGCAGGCUAGAGUAUGGCAGAGGGGGGUAGAAUUCCACGUGUAGCAGUGAAAUGCGUAGAGAUGUGGAGGAAUACCGAUGGCGAAGGCAGCCCCCUGGGCCAAUACUGACGCUCAUGCACGAAAGCGUGGGGAGCAAACAGGAUUAGAUACCCUGGUAGUCCACGCCCUAAACGAUGUCAACUAGUUGUUGGGGGAUUCAUUUCCUUAGUAACGUAGCUAACGCGUGAAGUUGACCGCCUGGGGAGUACGGUCGCAAGAUUAAAACUCAAAGGAAUUGACGGGGUCAUAGCUGUUUCCU